rnacentral:tRNA from 1 species
AUUAAGAUGUCUGAUUAAAGUAGUAAAUUGUAAAUUUACUUAAAGGUGAAUUCCUUCUUAAUA